CAUCACAGGGGGGUAGGAUGAUGUGGAUGUAACUGGUUAUGUAAAAGUAUAGGACACAUUUGGAGUGAGCCAGAUGGGAUGAUGGCUGUCAUUUUAGAGACUAACGCGCUUCUUGUCUGCGUCUGGAAAUUUUGCUUAUGCAUGACCUUGUGAACUCGCCUGCGGCGUGACCUCGAACAUCCCCUCUUACGGCUCCCCUGAACACCCCUCCACAUCAUUGUGCUCAUUUGUGCAGGCUAUUACCCCAGCAGGAAGUGACAUCAAUGGGUCCAAACUAAAAAUAUGUCGCAGGACGGACUGCCUAGGAUGUCCAGGACCGGUGUUUGUACAGGAGGAUGGCUCGCACCGGCUCCACAAAGUGAUGCUCAUUGAAGGAUGCAGAAGAGCGCCACACAGGCGAGACAGACAGACGUACUGGAGGCUGAACACAGAUUGUCUCCCUGCGGCACCUAUAGUUCUGGAUAGCAUCAAACCAGCCCUCUGUACCACAGCUCCUGGCUAUCUUCACCCACUAUGGCUCCUUCAUGAUGGCCCCCUAAUCUCUGCCAGUGUGGUUCCAUGGGAAUAAUCCUGUGUUCGAGGUAUCUGGAAGAGGCAGGGGAUCAAAAAUCCAUCACCUAUGCAAAAACAGAGCUUUCCAUAUAGUCCCUUUUAUUAAAGUGGAAUAUGGCUGAGGAUAUACCACGUUUGAGGGGCCAUGAAUAAUACUAGAAGCAUAUAGGGAAAAGAAGACGCCACUCCUCUCCAGCUUCCUACCACAGAGCUGUACUCAGCCUGCACAGUUAGGCCGUCGAGCCAUUAAUGAGUCCCAGCACUGAUAAUGAAGCCACACAGGUGGUCUGAGCCAGUGUGGCACAGGAGCUGGAGCACAGAAGGAAGGUAGAUUAGGAUAAUUACCUGGCCACGGGGGAACGAUGUGUAAGAUAUGUCACUUCCUAGGAUUGACGAAGGAGCAAGUGCGAUAUAAUGAGGUGCAGACACCCUUUUCUCAGAAAGAGAAAAAA